AUUGAACGCUGGCGGCAUGCCUUACACAUGCAAGUCGAACGGCAGCACGGGUGCUUGCACCUGGUGGCGAGUGGCGAACGGGUGAGUAAUACAUCGGAACAUGUCCUGUAGUGGGGGAUAGCCCGGCGAAAGCCGGAUUAAUACCGCAUACGAUCUACGGAUGACAGCGGGGGACCUUCGGGCCUCGCGCUAUCGGGUUGGCCGAUGGCUGAUUAGCUAGUUGGUGGGGUAAAGGCCUACCAAGGCGACGAUCAGUAGCUGGUCUGAGAGGACGACCAGCCACACUGGGACUGAGACACGGCCCAGACUCCUACGGGAGGCAGCAGUGGGGAAUUUUGGACAAUGGGCGAAAGCCUGAUCCAGCAAUGCCGCGUGCGUGAAGAAGGCCUUCGGGUUGUAAAGCACUUUUGUCCGGAAAGAAAUCCUUGGCUCUAAUACAGUCGGGGGAUGACGGUACCGGAAGAAUAAGCACCGGCUAACUACGUG
rnacentral:rRNA from 1 species